GACGUAGGGCGCGAGCGUUGUCCGGAUUUAUUGGGCGUAAAGAGCUCGUAGGUGGCUCGUUGCGUCGGCUGUGAAAAACCCGCAGCUCAACUGUGGGCUUGCAGCUGAUACGGGCGGGCUGGAGUUCGGUAGGGGAGACUGGAAUUCCUGGUGUAGCGGUGAAAUGACGCAGAUAUCAGGAGGGAACACCGGUGGCGAAGGCGGGUCUCUGGGGCCGAUACUGACGCUGAGGAGCGAAAAGCGUGGGGGAGCGAACAGG
rnacentral:rRNA from 1 species